GAGAAUAGGCCGCUUCCACCUUAAUUGAAUUGGCCUCGUUAGCACUGACCCCCCUCCCCAAAUUUUUUAGUCUCUAAGGUGCCACAAGGACUCCUCGUUGUUUUUGUAAUUUUGUGCCCCUACUGAUUUUGAGAAGAAUUUAAGGAAAGAGAUCUGUAUUCUGUGUUCAUAAGUUAGGUUCUGAUCCAGUAAAGGACUUAGCAUGUAGUACUGUUGUGGAUGUGUCCUGCCAGCCACACCCAUUUAUGCCAAGGUUCAAAAUAGAGACCAGCUGCUACAGAUCUCUGCUCUGUGACAUUCAAAGGGUUGCAGCAUCCCUGGAUGUGGGUUCUUUGUGGUAUGGGCUACCUGCAUAGCAGAAAUGAUCCAUUUCCGCUGUAGUUUGUUUGCAUUUACCCAUCUACACAGGUGUGGCAUCUGGCUCCUAGUAACACUCUUUUAUUGUUAUCAUGAAGUUCCAAAGUGAAAUACUUUUCUGCUUGAGCAGAUUCUGACACCCUUCCUCCACAAUUACUCCCAUUAAAUUCAAUAGGGCGACAUUUGAUAGGGUGCUAUUUAACAUAAGGGUCUCACAUUCAGGCCCUUUUAUUGUGCUGAGUCUAAUCUCACCUAACCCUGUUUUACAGUGGUGCAAUUCUAUGGCCUUGCAUGGAUUUAUGUCUUGGGUUUACAACAAGAUAAGAGGAGAGUCAUGCAUACUGUGUGUGAUAUGCUGGAGUUUUUAAACAUACUACAAAAGUGCAGGCAUCUGGCCAUAUUGUACUGUGAAUCUAUGCCCAUCAUUUCCAUCAAUAUUCAGGAGAAUCAUGUGCAUGGAUCAAGGGUAUAAUGUGGCUCUAGGCCAUUUCAGCCAAAAAUACUUCUAUGUUAUAUUUGAGAGAAGAAUCCAAAGUUUUUAGGUUCUGCCGGCUCACUGGCAUGAAAGCUAGACAGAUCUUGCUAUAUCAGUCUCUCAACUAGUAUACUUUACUUAGAAUUAAUUUGAUACUGUAGCUUUUUGAAUGCACACAAAAAUGUUAGGCAUCUAUGAGAAUGCUGAUUAUGCUGUAUAACGUGUUUUGACAGGACAAUACUGGCAAUAUGUCUCAAAUGUCAAUGUCAUAGAAAUCAAACUGAAAACCUGUGUAAGUUGUUGAACAGGACAACUGGUAUGUUCAUUUCUAGUAACUUCUCUCAUUGCCAUUAAAUCCACAUUGUACUCUUUUAAAAAAUAGUUCAGCUAAAUAAUGCAGGUUAGAUUUAAUCAAUAAAUCAUUGUUCAGUUUUUUUCUUAACAUCUGUUGCUGUUUUGUUUUAACAAUUAUGUAGGGUAACGUUGGCUGGUCCAUUUAUUUUCAGAUGAGUAAAAAUGUAUCAGUGCACCUUAUUGUUAACAAUCAAAUUUACGGCUUAGCGUUUAAGUAAAGUGUGGGAGGGAAUUGGCCUUCCAUUUGUUGGGUCUCUUGACUGUUAAAUGUACAUAGUAUUGUUCCAGAUAAGCCUUUUACAUAUCCAUUUCAGGUAGAAUUCAACUGAACAGUUCUCACAUCCACAUUUGAAAAUAUUCUUAAUUUACUUACAAGCAGCAUGGGUCAUUGUGAUAUACAUUCCUUAAUAGGAAUCUCUUGGAAAUGAAUUCCAUCUUCUGAGUUAUUAAAGCCUUUUAAAACAACCUCUUCACCAUCAGCUGCCUUAAAAUUCUCUAGAAUCUUCAUUCUAAUAUAGACUAUUUCAAAUACAACAACUCCAAAGUCACCAGUGCAUAGGUUUAUUUGUUGGGAAGGAGACUAAGAGCAACCCCUGGUUCCGAUCUAAAUAAUUGUAAUUUCGACAAAUGACAGUCAUGGCGUAUCUGAUAUCAUCUGUUUGUACAAAAUAGACAAAUUGUGGAAGAAUAAACACCAUAAGGAGGAAGAUUGCACAGAAUUCUUUUAAAUAAUGUUUGUCCCUGGGUCCUGUGGACCUUGUGGCAAUGUUCUGUUGAAUUCCCUGCACCAAGGUCUCACUCUUAAGGUAGAUCUACGCUAAAGUGCAGCAAUACCAGCAUUCCCAGUCCUUGAAAGAGGCCAUCACUUUCUUUGAUCAAGAUCAGUUUUUUCUGGUUGUCUGAGUAAUUGUUGACUGGUUCCAGUAAACUUUCCAGCCUAUGGUUAGAAAAAUAGUGGUAUGAUGCAUAUGGAUAAAAUUGUGGGGAAAUGGAAGAUUCUUAGGACUCCCAAAAAUGGUAUAGAGACCUCCCUGAAAAGUAUUGCUUUUCAGAUUGCCUGGUCUCUCUCCCCCACAAAAAUCUGACCUUUUCAUAUUUGUUUUCACUCUUCUUUUUAAAAAAAGACUAAAUAUUUCCUCUGAUGAGGGUGAACUUCUGAUAUUUUAACAGAAGAAUGUGGAUUUCUACAUACCCUUUAGUUUUUCUUGGAAUUUGUGUAAUGACUGUUAGAUUGUUAUGGCCAUAGAAGGGUUUUUAGUUGAUUGUAUGGUAUGACGUAUUGCUGUGUGAAAAAAGUGGGAUGAUAAAAUCCUCAAAAGUAUGUGUAACCCUGUUGUAAUGAUCACACAUAUUAUCAUGUAAAGACACAAAUGCAGUAUUGCACUUGAAAUAAUUUGUAUUGUGGCACUAUCCAGAGGCCUCAACCAAGAUUAGGGCCCCUUACAGUUGUGUUCGAUGCUAUAAAAACACAUGGUAAGAAACGGUCCCUUCCCCAGAGGGUUUACAGCCUAAACAGACCAGAUGGACAAAGGGUCGGAGGAGAAACAGAUAUUUGCACUAUCUGUCACUGCCCUGACUCCAGAAGAGUGUUCUGAGUCAAGAGGGCCUUGGUGAUAAGGAGCCUGGAUGGAAGGGAUGAUGGACUGAGGUUAACGCUGCCCCCUACUCCUGACAUUGAGGACGCUGGUGUGAAGGCUCAUUUGUGCAACAUGUUCCCCUUUGGAAUGAAUAAACUAGACCCCUGAAGGGGUUCAAUAUGUAUCAGCCUCACUGAACUUAUUGAAAGCACACGAAGGGAAACCAAAGCAGAGACACAACCUUGGUUCUGCCACAGGCUGCCAGAGAUUGCUCCAGCUGUGAGUGCCUACCAUUACAUCUGUUUGUUGUUGGGAUGUUUACUAUAUUAAUAUAUUGAUUUAGUUUAAUAGCAGGCUUUAAGCAAACAAGCAGGAAGAAAGGAAUGAAUUCAAAAUGACCUUGACAAAUUGGUGAAUUGGUCUGAAACCAUCAAGAUGAAAUUCAUUAAAGACAAGUGCAAAGUACUAUAUUUAGGAAGGGAAAAAAAAUUGAAAGCACAAAUACACCAUGGGAAAUAACUGGCUAGGAAGUAAUACUGCUGAAAAGCAUCUGGAGGUUUAGUAGAUCACAAGUUGAUUAUAAGCCAGCAAUAUGAUGCAGUUGUGAAAAAGGCUGUUGUGACAAUCAAGGUCCAGACACCCAAAGGGGAGUAUGGGGGGGUCUGAACCCUGCAAAAUAAGCUAUCGAAUCAACUGGUUGUAGACACUGUUAUUCUGUAUGUAAAAUAUGCCAACUAAGGUCUUUUGUGAAAACUUGUAAUGUUCUGAACUUGAUGGCCAUUAGGAGAUAUGUAUACAGGCUAUGGUUUUGAAUUGAUGCAUGUAUUUAUGUGUGGAAAAUUGUAAUUGUGCCCAUAGAGACAGGCUGGGAGGGCACCUCCCAGGCAGGUGUUCACACUCUGAGCACCUAGCAUUGUUCAGGUAGGAGGAGACAAUGGUGGACCAUUAAAAUGAAUGGGAAAAACACUGAAACAACUUGAAAUGGAAAAGAAAACCCCAUUCUGGGAAACCCCACCCCUGUUCUGUGUGAUCAUGAAUUACCAUAGUCCUUAGGAAAAGAAAGAAAACCCUGCAAACUCUGUUAAAAGCAAGGGAAGUGAAGGCUAUCCACAAAUGAAGGGUCAGCAAUUAAGCAGGGUGCUUUCCAUGAAGCACUGGAUCCCUCUAGGACAGAGGGCCUGCUGGAAAACCGUUCAGAGGCAAUAGGUAACUUGUAUUAACCAAGGGAAUUUAGCUCAGAGAGAAAUGUAAAGCCUCAGAUUUUGUCUUUCUGUUCUGUGUGACUUGUAUGUGUUUUGGCUUUCCUUACUAUUGCAGCUUGGAAUCUGUGAUAUGUUGUUGUUUUUUUUUUUCUAUUAAACAAACUUUUUUGUUUGUUUCUGCCUCCAGUAAGCCUCUGUUGUGCAGACUGUGGGGAGCAUAAGCGCCAAAGUGAAUGGAUAACUGGGGGCAGGUUUCAUGCCCUUCGUGGUGAUGAACUGGAUGGGAAAAGUCCAAGUGGCUGGUAGUUACGACCUCAGGGAGAAAGAUUUGGGGGGACUCGGGACCAGCAAGGAUUGUUGAGGUAACCCAGUAAGAAGUAACUAAGCUGGUGGAAACCUUACACUGGCAGGCUGGCUACUGGGGGCAGAGCCACGAAGAAGAACCGCAUAGCACUAACACACCCAAGUUACAUGGCAGGCAAUGACAGAAUCCCUUAUUGAUCCCCCAAAAGGUCUGGCUGUACAGCAGCAAAACUCUUUAUUGUAGAAGGUAAAAGAAAUAUUGUCCUUUGUUGGGAAGAGAGUAAAGAGACAGACAGGAAAAGUGAACAGCUCAAGAAAGGUCAGCGAGUCGAGUUAUGCAAAGAAAGGAAGCUAAAAUCUAAAAGCUUAAGAAGUCAGAGCUGGCGUCUUGGCUGUGUGACGAUAACCAGGGGCAGAAUGGGUACCAGACCAGGACCUAGGAACCGCCCAAGUUCUCUUAUAGGGUGUGCAGGAGCCCAAGGAGACAAAGGCCAGAAUAGACCAGCAGGAUGAGAAAGCUGCAGAACCAAUGAAUUCCCAAGAAGAGGUAUGGAGGAGGAAAUCUCUCUCCUUCAUCCUCACUCAGAGCUGGUGUGAAGCUACACGCCACAAUAUCUACACUCUAUCUCGAAUGGGACAACUGUCGUGUUAGAAAACUGGACACAGUAUUUUGGAGAUGAAAAAAGACUUUUUAAUGCUGCUUCUGAAAAAAGGAGAAAAGGCUGCUAUCUUAUAUUUUCUGUUUCAUCUUUGACUGAAAUCCUCGACUCUGGGAUGAGAUCGUCUGUCCUUGCUGCCAUACAUCUUAUGAGAGAGACAAGUCUCUGUGCAUAGGACUCCAAGAGGCAUUGGUUCAUUUAUUGGAUAAAUAUACAUGAUUUAAAAGAAAGGACUAGAGAUGAAACACUGAGCUUCAGCCUCUCCUUGAAUGAAUUAGCUCAUGGCAGAAGCUGUCAGGGCUGUAGAGGGAGAAGCUUAGCAAAUGGUAAAAUAUUCUGCAGAUGCUGUAAAUCAAAGGAGAUCAGGCAACCAGGAUGAACAAAGGAAUUGUCUCAACCCACCUUGCUUUAGCAAUACACUCUUGCCAACAGAUCUGAUUCAAUCCUAGGAGUCUGAGAAGGAUCCACUGGAAUCAAAUCCCUUCCAACACCUCUGUAUUGCCACCAGUCAUUAAAGCAGCUAUCAUUGCCUGCAAGUAUCAGGAUAAAUGGGGCUCAUGUCUCGGCCCCAUACAUUUCAUCACAUUUCCUCCUUUAGCAAUUUCCAGUCACUGCCAUUUCUCCUUUUAGGGAGUGGAGACAGUACCACCAUCAUCAGUGACCUCUUUCAGGGAGAGAGGAACCAUCAGUGUCUGCCUUCCCCCUUUCCCUCUCUAAGAUGUGGGGUAGGAUGAAAAUUACUGUUGGUGGGGUGUACUAACAGAAGUGUCAUUUGUAAGUUGUGGGAGGUAAAUGUCCUGCUCUGCUUGGCACUGGUGAGGCCUCAGCUGGAGUACUGUGUCCAGUUCUGGGCCCCACACUUUAGGAAAGGUGUGGAUAAAUUGGAGAGAGUCCAAAGAAGAGGAACUAGGUUUAGAGAACAUGACCUAUGAGGAAAGGUUGAAAGACUUGAAGAUGUGUAGUCAGAAGAGAGAGCUGAGAGGGAAAAUGACAGCCUUCGGUUUAUGUAAGUUUGUUAUAAAGAGGAUGGUGAGCAAUUCUCCAUGUCCACUGAGGAUGGGACAAGAAGUAAUGGGCUUAGU